AUGUCUUGGACCAAUUAUGUAUCAUGUGAACAUUUUAAGUUUUGCACAAAAGAGAAAAAAAAAACAUUUUUGGAGUUGGUGGAAACAAUGAGAAGCCUCUUGACUUGCAACUCUGUCAACAUCUUAGCUACUGCUUUCUCCCUUUUCUUUCCUGCCCAUUUGCUCAGCUAUAUAUUUGCAGCAUUUGCUGUGUUUAUGAUUACUUGCUGCAUGCCACUAUUAGACAGCAAGCCAAUCUCUUCCUUGUCCAUAGUAGGCUACCACAACAUGGGAGAGAACAGGAAGUUUGGACAAAUCAUCCUGCCAAGGAUGACUACAAAUAAGAUACUGCACCACCAGGAGCUACAUGGCGAUCAAUCCAUCUCUGAUGUUUCAGGCAUAGUGGAUGAGACCUUGGGAAAGAGUCCCUUGGAUAGGCAGGAUACACUGAAAUACAGGGUGUUUGCUAGUACUUGGAAUAUUGGCGGCAUAGCACCAACAGAUGAUCUGGACUUGGAGGAUUGGUUGGAUACAAGAGCUAACUCCUAUGACAUCUAUGUUCUAGGGUUCCAAGAAAUAGUGCCACUGAAUGCAGUAAAUGUGCUUGGUCCUAGCAAGAGGUGUAUCUCUACAAAGUGGAACUCACUAAUUGGGAAGGCACUAAACAAAAAGAAGACACGAGACGGAGCACAGUUGCAGCAUACAACUACAAAUAGUAGUGCAAUGGAAAGCUUUGGACAAGAGGAGUGCUUUAUAUGCAUCAGGAGCAAGCAGAUGGUGGGCAUCUUUACCUCAGUCUGGGUGAGAAGCAAUCUUAGGUUAUACAUUCACCAUCUGGAUGCGUCAUGUGUUGGUUCGGGUAUCAUGGGCUAUCUAGGGAACAAGGGUUCAGUAUCAGUUCGAUUUCUGCUGCAUGAGACGAGCUUUUGUGUUGUUUGUUGUCACCUGGCUUCAGGUGGCAAACAAGGGGAUGUGCUGCUGAGGAAUUUUGAUGCAGCGGAUAUACUUGCAAGGACGAGAUUUCAUGGUGGUGGUGGUGGAAAUAAAAAACUGCCAAAGAAAAUCCUCGAUCAUGACCAAGUAGUUUUGCUCGGUGACUUGAAUUAUAGGAUAUCACUGGAAGAGCCUGAGACAAGGUUGCUGGUGAAAGCUAAGAACUGGUCCACCUUGUUAGAGAACGAUCAGGAAGGGCCGGUCACCUUCUCUCCCACCUACAAGUACCAGCCAAACUCUGAUCAGUACUACUGGUGCUUCGAAGCAGCGCGAGGGGAGAAGAAGCGUGCUCCCGCAUGGUGUGAUCGCAUUCUUUGGCGCGGCAAGGGCCUGAAACAAAUCCAAUAUGGGACCUGCGACUACAAGUUGUCAGACCACCGGCCGGUGAGAGCUGGUUUCAUUGCUGAGUGCAGGAUCAGGGGAGAUGCGGAGGACUCUAUUGGUGGCUUCAUGCGCUGA
rnacentral:rRNA from 1 species